ACGAACUCUCUGAUGCUAUCUGGUAAGGGGUUGUAGGACAUCUUACAUUGAGUUACAAAAUUUUAUGAUAGUAGAAGAAGUUGGAAAGCUUCAACAUAGAAGGUGAUAUUCCUGUAUACGAAAUCAUAAAAUCUCAUAGAUGUAUCCUGAGUAGGGCGGGGCACGUGAAACCCUGUCUGAAUCUGCCGGGACCACCCGGUAAGGCUAAAUACUAAUCAGACACCGAUAGUGAACUAGUACCGUGAGGGAAAGGUGAAAAGAACCCCCAGUGGGUAGUGAAAUAGAACGUGAAACCGUGCUGAGCUCCCAAGCAGUGGGAGGGGAAAGUGAUCUCUGACCGC
rnacentral:rRNA from 1 species